UACGGAAGGCAGCAGUGGGGAAUAUUGCACAAUGGGCGAAAGCCUGAUGCAGCUAUGCCGCGUGUAUGAAGAAGGCCUUAGGGUUGUAAAGUACUUUCAUCGGGGAGGAAAAACAAAACUAAUAAUUUUAUUUCUUGACGUUACCCGAAAAAGAAGCACCGGCUAACUCCGUGCCAGCAGCCGCGGUAAUACGGAGGGUGCUAGCGUUAAUCAGAAUUACUGGGCGUAAAGAGCACGUAGGUGGUUUUUUUAAAGUCAGAUGUGAAAUCCCUGGGCUUAACCUAGGAACUGCAUUUUGAAACUGAAAUACUAGAGUAUCGUAGAGGGAGGUAGAAUUCUAGGUGUAGCGGUGAAAUGCGUAGAUAUCUGGAGGAAUACCUGUGGCGAAAGCGGCCUCCUAAACGAAUACUGACACUGAGGUGCGAAAAGCGUGGGGAGCAAACAGGGAUUAGAUACC
rnacentral:rRNA from 1 species